GGAUGUGGUGCAGCUCAUAUUUUCACAAGCGGGUCUCUUUUCUGGGACUAUGGCCACCGACUCGUGGGCCCUGGCGGUGGAUGAACAGGAAGUGGCUGUAAAGUCAAUGACCAAUUUGCAGAUCAAGGAAGAGAAAGUCAAAGCAGACACUGAUGGUAUUAUCAAAACCAGUACCACUGCCAAGAAAACAGAUGAAGAGGAGAAAGAGGACAGGGCUGCACAGUCCUUACUCAACGAGCUGAUCAGAAGCAACCUUGUGGAUAACACAAACCAAGUGGAAGUCCCGCAGCAGGAUCCAAACUCCCCCCUGUACUCAGUGAAGUCUUUUGAAGAGCUUCGGUUGAAACCACGGCUUCUCAAGGGAGUCCAUGCUAUGGGCUUCCACCGACCAUCCAAGAUACAAGAGAACGUGUUACCCAUGAUACUUGCUGAUCCCCCACAGAAUCUGAUUGCCCAGUCUCAGUCUGGCACUGGUAAAACAGCUGCCUUUCUCCUGGCCGUGCUCAGCCGAGUGGAGCCAGCAGACAGAUACCCCGGCGUCUCUGCCUCUCCCCAACAUAUGAGCUGGUGCUUCAAACAGGAAAAGCAAUUGAGCAGAGGGGCACAUUUUACCCAUCUGCGGAAGAACUGAAGCUUGCCUCUGCCAUUUGAGGCAAUAAAUUGGAAAGAGUCCAGAAGACCAGUGAGCAGAUUAUCAUUGGCACCCCCGGGACUGUGCUGGACUAGUGCUCCAAGCUCAAGUUCAUUGAUCCCAAGAAAAUCAAGGUGUUUGUUCUGGAUGAGGCUGACGUCACGAUAGCCACUCAGGGCCACCAGGAUCAGAGCAUCUGCAUCCAGAGGAUGCUGCCCAGGAACUGCCAGAUGCUGCUUUUCUCCGCCACCUUUGAAGACUCUGUGUGGAAAUUGGCCCAGAAAGUGGUCCCAGAUCCAAACGUUAACAAACUGAAGUGAGAGGAAGAGACCCUGGACACCACCAAGCAGUACUGUGUCCUGUGCAGCAGCAGAGGUGAGAAGUUCCAGGCCCUGUGUAACCGCUACACACCAUUGCUCAAGCCAUCAUCUUCUGCCACACUCACAAAACCACUAGCUGGCUGGCGGCAGAGCUCUCAAAAGAAGGCCACCAGGUGGCUCUGCUGAGUGGGGAGAUGAUGGUGGAGCAGAGGGCUGUGGGGACUGAGCACUUCCGAGGGGGCAAAGAGAAGGUUCUGGUGACCACCACCGUGUGCACCUGCAGGACGGAUGUCGAACAAGUGUCUUUCAUCAUCAACUUUGAUCUUCCCGUGGACCAGGAUGGGACCCCUGACAAUGAGACCUACCUGCACCGGAUCGGACACACGGGCCGCUUUGGCAGGAGGGGACUGGCAGUGAACAUGGUGGACACCAAGCCCAGCAUGAACAUUCUGAAUGGAAUCCAGGGGCAUUUUCAUAAGAAGAUAGAAAGAUUGGACACAGAUGAUUUGGACGAGAUUGAGAAUAUAGCCAACUGA